CCUACGGGUGGCAGCAGUGGGGAAUAUUGGACAAUGGGGGGAACCCUGAUCCAGCGACGCCGCGUGAGUGAAGAAGUUUUUCGGUAUGUAAACCUCUAUCAUCAGGGAAGAAAAUGACGGUACCUGACUAAGAAGCACCGGCUAACUACGUGCCAGCAGCCGCGGUAAUACGGAGGGGGCAAGCGUUAUCCGGAUUUACUGGGUGUAAAGGGAGCGUAGACGGUGCAGCAAGUCUGAUGUGAAAGGUUGGGGCCCAACCCCAGGACUGCAUUGGAAACUGUUGAACUGGAGUACAGGAGAGGUAGGCGGAAUUCCUAGUGUAGCGGUGAAAUGCGUAGAUAUUAGGAGGAACACUAGUGGCGAAGGCGACUUGCUAGACUGUAACUGACGUUGAGGCGCGAAAGCGUGGGGAGCAAACAGGAUUAGAUACCCGAGUAGUC
rnacentral:rRNA from 1 species